UGGGAACUCGCAGUUUUGAGUGAGGGUAGUAAGUUUGCUUGGAACUGGACGGGGCAGCACAAGGGCAUUCGGGAGGAACUAUGAUUGGGAUAAAACUGGGAGAUAUAGAAGCUAUUGAGAUGGAUAGAGGAGAUUUUUUUUUUCUAGUAUAAAGAUUCAAAAUAGGAAAGAUAAACUACAACGUUUUAUGGCCCAGUACAGUUGGAAAGGAAGGCUGGCUUUCUGCAGGAACUCAAUCAGGCCAUUUAUCCGCCCGGGGGGGGGGGGGGGGGGGGGGGGCAUGGCGGGGGAUUGCAACAUGAUCAGGUUUGCUUGGGAGAAAUCUUCUGACAACCUAUAUCAAGGAUGGAUGGACACGUUCAAUAAGUUUAUGAUCGAUGGGAUCAGGUUUGCUUGGGAGAAAUCUUCUGACAACCUAUAUCAAGGAUGGAUGGACACGUUCAAUAAGUUUAUGAUGGGUAAUGGUAUCAAAGAAAUGCUGAGGAAAGGGAGUAAG
rnacentral:lncRNA from 1 species